rnacentral:rRNA from 1 species
GACGAACGCUGGCGGCGUGCCUAAUACAUGCAAGUCGAACGAGAGCGACUGGUGCUUGCACUGGUCAAUCUAGUGGCGAACGGGUGAGUAACACGUGGGUAACCUGCCCAUCAGAGGGGGAUAACAUCCGGAAACGGAUGCUAAAACCACAUAGGUCUUCGAGCCGCAUGGUUUGAAGAGGAAAAGAGGCGCAAGCUUCUGCUGAUGGAUGGACCCGCGGUGCAUUAGCUAGUUGGUGAGGUAACGGCUCACCAAGGCCGUGAUGCAUAGCCGACCUGAGAGGGUGAUCGGCCACAUUGGGACUGAGACACGGCCCAA